UGAUACCGCAUGUGGUUAAGGGGAGGCAUCUCUCCGGAACCAAAGCUGGGGAUCGAAAGACCUGGCGCUUGAGGAUGAGCCCGCGACCUAUCAGCUAGUUGGGGUGGUAACGGCACACCAAGGCGAAGACGGGUAGCUGGUCUGAGAGGACGACCAGCCACACUGGAACUGAGACACGGUCCAGACACCUACGGGUGGCAGCAGUCGAGAAUUUUUCACAAUGGGCGCAAGCCUGAUGGAGCGACGCCGCGUGGGGGAUGAAGGGCUUCGGCUCGUAAACCCCUGUCAGUUGCGAACAAAGCGCAUGGGUGAAUAGCCUUUGCGUUGAUGGUAGCGACAGAGGAAGGGACGGCUAACUCUGUGCCAGCAGCCGCGGUAAUACAGAGGUCCCGAGCGUUGUUCGGAUUCACUGGGCGUAAAGGGUGCGUAGGCGGACGGGCAAGUCUGAUGUGAAAGCCCCGGGCCCAACCCGGGAACGGCAUCGGAAACUACCCGGCUUAGAGGGUUGGAGGGGGGAUUGGAAUUCCCGGUGUAGCAGUGAAAUGCGUAGAGAUCGGGAGGAACGCCAGUGGCGAAGGCGAAUCCCUGGACAACACCUGACGCUGAGGCACGAAAGCUUGGGGAGCAAACAGGAUUAGAUACCCUGGUAGUCCAAGCCGUAAACGGUGCGCGUUUGCUGUGGGCGGAAUCGACCCCGUCCGUGGCGGAGCU
rnacentral:rRNA from 1 species